rnacentral:rRNA from 1 species
AGCGAACGCUGGCGGCAGGCUUAACACAUGCGAGUCGAGCGGGCGUAGCAAUACGUCAGCGGCAGACGGGUGAGUAACGCGUGGGAACGUACCUUUUGGUUCGGAACAACACAGGGAAACUUGUGCUAAUACCGGAUAAGCCCUUACGGGGAAAGAUUUAUCGCCGAAAGAUCGGCCCGCGUCUGAUUAGCUAGUUGGUGAGGUAACGGCUCACCAAGGCGACGAUCAGUAGCUGGUCUGAGAGGAUGAUCAGCCACAUUGGGAAUGAGACACGGCCCAAACCCCUCCGGGAGGAAGAAGUGGGGAAUAUUGGAAAAGGGGGAAAACCCUGAUCCAGCCAUGCGGCGUGAGGAAGGAAGCCCCUAGGGUUGUAAACCUUUUUUGUGCGGGAGGAAAAGCAGGGUACCGAAAAAAAAACCCCGGCCUAACUUCGUG